UAACCUGCCCAAGAGACUGGGAUAACACCUGGAAACAGAUGCUAAUACCGGAUAACAACGACUAGACGCAUGUCUAGAGUUUAAAAGAUGGUUCUGCUAUCACUCUUGGAUGGACCUGCGGUGCAUUAGCUAGUUGGUAAGGUAACGGCUUACCAAGGCAAUGAUGCAUAGCCGAGUUGAGAGACUGAUCGGCCACCAUUGGGACUGAGACACGGCCCAAACUCCUACGGAAGGCAGCAG
rnacentral:rRNA from 1 species